GAAUACCCAAAGGUCAUCCGGAAGAACCCUUCUUCCGAAAAGUUUCCGGAUGAACUACUUCUUCUAGUUCUUCCGGAAAGUUCUUCCGGAAUACCCAAAGGUCAUCCGGAAGAACCCUUCUUCCGAAAAGUUUCCGGAUGAACCCUUCUUCCGGAAAUUUUCCGGAACAACUUCUUCCGGAAGUUCUAGAAGAAGCCUUCACGGUUCUUCCAGAAAACGCCACCGUAACCGAGCUUUCCCCAUUUUUUCCAGCGUCUUCUACCCUAAGGUUUAACUAUCCUAGCCUUAAUACUACAACUAUACUGCAUAAUAAAAGCAAUGGGAAGUUAGGGACACCUACCUCGAAGGCAAAUCACGUCUGAUCCAACGAGAAGAAGCAGCCGGGCUCGCGGAGAAGAAGAGGCACGAGGCUUGUGGGGAAGAAGAAAAGAAGCAGCGCAAAGAAGAACAAAAGUGGUUCUUCCGAAGGAGGAGCAGCUUUUUAAAUUUUUAAAUGAAGGGCAAAAUGGCCCAUUCAAUAAAUUGCUGGGUGCACCUAGCAUGUCCCUAUAUGUUCGGUCUAUAUUCAAUCUAAAUGCCAGCCCAACUAGCCCAUUGUGUAGUGUAAAAAUCUCAUGGGUUAUUUUUCCUACAC
rnacentral:lncRNA from 1 species